rnacentral:pre_miRNA from 1 species
GUCACUUGGGGACCUUGUUACAAAUGCAGAUUUCAAUUCCGUAGUCUGGGUUAGCGCCUAUGAUUCUGCAUUUCUAACAAGCUCCCAGGUGAUGCCUG